UUCGGCCGGAUUUUACACAAGUGUUGCAUGGCUGUCGUCAGCUCGUGUCGUGAGAUGUUGGGUUAAGUCCCGCAACGAGCGCAACCCUCAUCCUUAGUUACUAUCAGGUAAUGCUGAGUACUUUAAGGAAACUGCCAGUGAUAAGCUGGAGGAAGGUGGGGAUGAUGUCAAGUCAUCAUGGCCUUUAUGGAGUGGGCUACACACGUGCUACAAUGGUGUCUACAAUGGGCUGCAAGGUGCGCAAGCCUAAGCUAAUCCCUAAAAGACAUCUCAGUUCGGAUUGUACUCUGCAACUCGAGUACAUGAAGUUGGAAUCGCUAGUAAUCGUGGAUCAGCAUGCCACGGUGAAUACGUUCUCGGGUCUUGUACACACUGCCCGUCA
rnacentral:rRNA from 1 species